AAUUAAUAAGCUUAUUUAAGCAUUUGUUUUGAAAACUUAAGAAAGAAGAUUUUUCUUCUAUUAAUUU
rnacentral:tRNA from 1 species